rnacentral:rRNA from 1 species
AGUGAACGCUGGCGGUAGGCCUAACACAUGCAAGUCGAACGGCAGCGCAGUAAGAGCUUGCUCUUACGGGUGGCGAGAGGCGGACGGGUGAGGAAUACAUCGGAAUCUACUUUUUCGUGGGGGAUAACGUAGGGAAACUUACGCUAAUACCGCAUACGACCUACGGGUGAAAGCAGGGGAUCUUCGGACCUUGCGCGAUUGAAUGAGCCGAUGUCGGAUUAGCUAGUUGGCGGGGUAAAGGCCCACCAAGGCGACGAUCCGUAGCUGGUCUGAGAGGAUGAUCAGCCACACUGGAACUGAGACACGGUCCAGACUCCUACGGGAGGCAGCAGUGGGGAAUAUUGGACAAUGGGCGCAAGCCUGAUCCAGCCAUACCGCGUGGGUGAAGAAGGCCUUCGGGUUGUAAAGCCCUUUUGUUGGGAAAGAAAAGCAGCAGGUUAAUACCCCGCUGUUCUGACGGUACCCAAAGAAUAAGCACCGGCUAACUUCGUG